UGAACGCUAGCGGCAGGCUUAACACAUGCAAGUCGAGGGGCAGCAUGAGACGGAGAUUCGUCGAAGUCUUGAUGGCGACCGGCGCAAGGGUGCGUAACGCGUGAGCAACUUUGCCCGUUUCUGGGGAAUAACCGGUGGAAACGCCGACUAAUACCCCAUAGUAUCAGAUUGAGGCAUCUUUAUCUGAUUAAAGAAUUUCGGAAACGGAUAGGCUCGCGUGACAUUAGCUGGAUGGCGGGGUAACGGCCCACCAUGGCAACGAUGUCUAGGGGUUCUGAGAGGAAGGUCCCCCACACUGGAACUGAGACACGGUCCAGACUCCUACGGGAGGCAGCAGUGAGGAAUAUUGGUCAAUGGUCUGACGACUGAACCAGCCAUGCCGCGUGAAGGUCACGGCCCUAUGGGUCUUAAACUUCUUUUGUAAGGGAGCAAUAAGCUUUACGUGUAGAGUGAUGAGAGUACCUUACGAAUAAGCAUCGGCUAACUCCGUG
rnacentral:rRNA from 1 species